GAGGCCGGAAUUGCUAGUAAUGGCAGGUCAGCAUACUGCCGUGAAUACGUUCCCGGGCCUUGUACACACCGCCCGUCACACCAUGAGAGUUGGGAAUACCCGAAGCCUGUGAGCUAACAUUAAGAGGCAGCAGUCGAAGGUAGAAUCAAUGAUUGGGGUGAAGUCGUAACAAGGUACC
rnacentral:rRNA from 1 species